rnacentral:rRNA from 1 species
UACGGAGGGUGCGAGCGUUGUCCGGAAUCAUUGGGCGUAAAGGGCGCGUAGGUGGGCUUCCUAAGCGUGCGGUGAAAGCCUGGGGCUCAACCCCGGGGUCGGCCGUGCGAACUGGGGGGCUUGAGCACUGUAGAGGCAGGCGGAAGUUCCGGGUGUAGCGGUGGAAUGACGUAGAGAGUCCGGAAGAACGACCGGUGGCGAAGGCGGCCUGCUGGGCAGUUUAGCUGACACUGAGGCGCGACAGCGUGGGGAGCAACAGG